rnacentral:rRNA from 1 species
UACGUAGGUGGCUAGCGUUGUCCGGAUUUACUGGGCGUAAAGAGCGCGCAGGCGGUCGUUCAAGUCGAGUGUGAAAGCCCCCGGCUCAACUGGGGAGGGUCACUCGAUACUGAUCGACUUGAAGGCGGGAGAGGGAAGCGGAAUUCCCGGUGUAGCGGUGAAAUGCGCAGAUAUCGGGAGGAACACCGGUGGCGAAGGCGGUUCUCUGGGCCUUACCUGACGCUGAGGAGCGAAAGCGUGGGGAGCGAACAGG